GCGGUGCGUCGAGGGCUGGGCCUCGGGGAGGAGAGGGCGGUGUCAACGUACUUCGCAGUACGCAGAAGGCCCGAGGGGGUGUAAUUUGUCAGUCCGUGAUUAAAACUAUUCCUCUAAGCCGUGAGAAUCUAGCUGAAAUUAAGCAGCAAUCUCAGACAGGCUGCGCAUGGCGCUGAGGAUACUCAUUUUCCUCUGAACUGCUUCCCGUCAUUGGGCUGCGUGUCUCUGCCAGGAGCUGAAGGGGGCAACAGAUGUCAUCUACCUGGGCUUGUGUGAGGCCUUUGGCACGGUCCCCAUCACAUCCUGAUCUCUGCACUGGGGAGAUACAGGUUUGAGAGGUGGACUGUUCGGCGGAUAAGGAAUUGGUUGGAUGGUUGUAGCCAGGCUGUGGUCAGUGGCUCUGUGUCCAGGUGGAGGCUGGUGGUGAGAGGCGUCCCCCAAGGGUCCGUCUUGGGACCAGUUCUCUUUAGCAUCUUUACCAAUGACAUGGAUGUUGGGAUCGGGUGCCCCCUCAGCAGGUUCGCUGAUGACACCAGGCUGAGGAGUGCAGUUGACACAAAAGAAGGAAGGGAUGACAUCCAGAGGGACCUUGAUAAACUUGAAUGGUAGGUCUGUGUAAACCUAAUGAGGUUCAAUGAUUGGCGUAAUUCCAGGCACGUGUAGAGACUGGGAGAAGAACUCACUGAGAGCAGCCCUGCUGAGGAAGACUUAGGGGUCCCUCUCUACUCUGCCUUCUGCAGUACUGCCUCCAGGCCUGGUAUGCAACACAAGAAAGAUGCAGCGCUGUUGGAGCGGGUCCAUCGGACGGCCACGAGGAGCAGAGGACGGGAACACUGACCGCUCCAAUGAAGAUAGGUUGAGAGGGUUGGGCUUGUUUAGUUUGAAGAAGGGAAGGCUGCGAGGAGGCCUCAUUGUGAUUUCCAGUAUAUAAAGGGAGAUUAGGAACAGCAGAGAAAUGAACUUUUUACAGGUGUAGAUUGUGAGAGGACAAAGGGGAACAGUUUAAACUGAAGGAAGGGAGAUACAGAUUAGAUGUUGGGGAAGUUUUUCGCUGAGAGAGUGAUGAGGCACUGGCACAGGCUGCUCAGAGAGGUUGUGGAUGGCCCAUGCCUGGAAGUGUUCAAGGCCAGGUUGGAUGGGGCCCUGGGCAGCCUGAUCUGGUGGCUGAUCUCACAAUUGGUGACACUGCCUGUGGCAGAGAGGUUGGAACUAGAUGAUCUUAGGGGUCCCUUCCAACCUAAGCCAUUCUAUGAUUCUGUGAUAGAGUGGAGAAAUGGCAUUGAGUAGCUCAAUAAAGCUGGCAAUAGCUGUCAGGAAACUUACUGCAGGUUGUGUAGAAGUUUGUUGAUUGUGUAUCCUGAGCUGUCAUGUGCAAGAAGGGAUGGAAGCAGAAUGGAGCAAAGAAGUUACUGCAGCACUUCAUAUAAAGGGGCCACGGGCUGCAGGCAACUGAAGUUGCAGAGCAGAGCUGCGCAGAGCAGAGCUCAGAGCCCCCGUUUGCAGCCAACCUGCCAUCAGCUGUCCCAACUCGCUGACUUUGUGGGAGGAAGAGACUCCGCGGACGGGGGAAUACCUGAUCUGCCUUUAGGUGAGCUCUGAGAUGAGCCGUGGUCCGGAUGCCACCAGAUGGAGCCCGCGGUCAGGAGAAACGAGGGCAGGCCGGGGCGAGGGGAUGGCUCCGACUGCAGGGAGCGCGGUGACCCGAACACGCCAGCUGCACGCAUCCUGGGGCUGCCUCAAGCCAUGAGUGCCUCUGGUUGGCACCCCCGGGCCUUCCUCUCGACCGGACCUCUUCUCUCUGCUUAUGGAAAGGGACUCUGAUUCCAAACUCUUCUAACUGCCCUUCAAAUAUUCCACACGUUUCUGCGCUGCGCUUCAAUCGCCGCUGUUAGGACCCAGCUCAAGAUGCUGCAGGGCAGUUGGCAUCCCCUCAAAAAUUUUAUUUUUCUAAAAAGACAAGCACUUCUGCUGUCUUCUCUAGUUCAUAACAAGUGUUUAAUAUUAAGUGAUGCGGAAAAAUGUAA